rnacentral:rRNA from 1 species
UACGGAGGGAGCUAGCGUUAUUCGGAAUUACUGGGCGUAAAGCGCACGUAGGCGGCUUUGUAAGUCAGAGGUGAAAGCCUGGAGCUCAACUCCAGAACUGCCUUUGAGACUGCAUCGCUUUGAAUCCAGGAGAGGUGAGUAGGAAUUCCGAGUGUAGAGGUGAAAUUCGUAGAUAUUCGGAAGAACACCAGUGGCGAAGGCGGCUCACUGGACUGGUAUUGACGCUGAGGUGCGAAAGCGUGGGGAGCAAACAGG